rnacentral:rRNA from 1 species
GCGGCGGACGGGUGAGUAACGCGUGGGUAACCUACCCUGUACACACGGAUAACAUACCGAAAGGUAUGCUAAUACGGGAUAAUAUAUUUGAGAGGCAUCUCUUGAAUAUCAAAGGUGAGCCAGUACAGGAUGGACCCGCGUCUGAUUAGCUAGUUGGUAAGGUAACGGCUUACCAAGGCGACGAUCAGUAGCCGACCUGAGAGGGUGAUCGGCCACAUUGGAACUGAGACACGGUCCAAACUCCUACGGGAGGCAGCAGUGGGGAAUAUUGCACAAUGGGCGAAAGCCUGAUGCAGCAACGCCGCGUGAGUGAUGAAGGCCUUCGGGUCGUAAAACUCUGUCCUCAAGGAAGAUAAUGACGGUACUUGAGGAGGAAGCCCCGGCUAACUACGUGCCAGCAG